rnacentral:rRNA from 1 species
UAAUACACAGGGUGCAAGCGUUGUCCGGAAUUAUUGGGCGUAAAGAGCUCGUAGGUGGUUCGUAACGUCGGAUGUGAAACUCUGGGGCUUAACCCCAGACCUGCAUUCGAUACGGGCGGGCUUGAGUAUGGUAGGGGAGUCUGGAAUUCCUGGUGUAGCGGUGGAAUGCGCAGAUAUCAGGAGGAACACCAAUGGCGAAGGCAGGACUCUGGGCCAUUACUGACACUGAGGAGCGAAAGCGUGGGGAGCGAACAGGAUUAGAUACCCUGGUAGUCCACGCCGUAAACGGUGGGCACUAGUUGUGGGGACCUUCCACGGUCUCUGCGACGCAGCUAACGCAUUAAGUGCCCCGCCUGGGGAGUACGAUCGCAAGGUUAAAACUCAAAGGAAUUGACGGGGCCCGCACAAGCAGCGGAGCAUGCGGCUUAAUUCGACGCAACGCGAAGAACCUUACCAAGGCUUGACAUAUACAGGAAUAUGGCAGAGAUGUCAUAGCCGCAA